UACGUAGGGUGCGAGCGUUGUCCGGAAUUAUUGGGCGUAAAGAGCUUGUAGGCGGUCUGUCGCGUCUGCUGUGAAAAUCCGGGGCUCAACCCCGGACUUGCAGUGGGUACGGGCAGACUAGAGUGUGGUAGGGGAGACUGGAAUUCCUGGUGUAGCGGUGAAAUGCGCAGAUAUCAGGAGGAACACCGAUGGCGAAGGCAGCUCGCUGGGACGGUACUGACGCUGAGGCGCGAAAGCGUGGGGAGCAAACAGG
rnacentral:rRNA from 1 species